rnacentral:rRNA from 1 species
AUUGAACGCUGGCGGCAGGCUUCACACAUUCAAGUCGAACGAGUGGCGGACGGGUGAGUAAUGUUUGGGCAUCUGGCUUAUGGAGGGGGAUAACUACUGGAAACUGUAGCUAAUACCGCGUACCAUAGGAUGAGCCCAGUUGGGAUUAGCUAGUAGGUGAGGUAAAGGCUCAACAAGCCGACGAUCUCUAGCUUGUCUGAGAGGAUGACCAGCAAGACGGGGACUGAGACACGGGGCAGACGACGACGGGAGGCAGAAGUGGGGAAUAUUGCACAAUGGGGGAAAGCCUGACGCAGCCAUGCCGCGUGUAUGAAGAAGGCCUUAGGGUGGUAAAGUACUUUCGGUAGCGAGGCGUUACCUACAGAAGAAGCACCGGCUAACUCCGUGCCAGGAGCCGCGGUAAUUC